UAGUAUCUAUCUCCUUGGAAAAACCCUUCCUCGAACCAUUUAAUUUCUGCUUCUCUUUUCAACAGGCCAACACAGACAAACUCAAAAGAACGAACUGAGUUCUUACAGCACAAAAAUCAGUUGGGUUUCUGAUAUAUGUAUGACCAUGUUCUUGUCCCCAAUAGUCUACUCCUUUGCACUUCUAUCUUCUUUCUUUCUUAUCUAUCUAUUUGCUCCUCAAAUCCUUCUUCUUGAUAAAAACCCAUCUCGAAUCUCUCUCCAUGAAGAACUAGACGAUCCUAUUCUCUUUAAAAGAGCACUUGAACCGCCGCCAACGCCGCCGCCACCCACUAGAAAGAAGAUCUCUCAUUUUUCAACCAAGAGUCCCAGUCCAAAAAUAGCUUUCCUUUUCCUUACCAACUCUGAUCUCACCUUUUAUCCCCUCUGGGAACGCUUCUUUAAACGCAGUACUCAUCUUUUCAAUGUCUAUGUUCAUGCUGACCCAUUUGCUAAAGUUUCAGUACCAAAUGGUAUUUUCAAAACACAAUUCAUCCCAAGCAGAAAAACCCAAAGAGGAUCUCCUUCUUUAAUCUCUGCUGAGCGUAGACUUCUUGCUCGAGCCAUUCUUGAUGACCCAUUAAACCUCUACUUCGCCCUUAUAUCCCAACAUUGCGUCCCUCUUCACUCCUUUAAUUACAUAUAUAAUACCCUUUUCGCCCCCAGCAUUUACCAUGCUUUUGCCACUCAAUCGCGCCACAAAAGCUUCAUAGAAAUUAUCUCAAUUGAUCCAAACUUGCAAGAGAGAUACAAUGCUAGAGGCGAAAACAUGAUGUUACCAGAAAUCCCAUUUGAUAAAUUCAGGGUAGGAUCACAAUUUUUUAUUUUAGCCAAAAGACAUGCCUUGAUGGUUCUUCAAGACAAGAAAUUAUGGGGAAAAUUUAAAAUUCCUUGCUUGAAUAUAGAUUCUUGUUACCCGGAAGAGCAUUAUUUUCCUACUCUUUUAUCAAUGAAGGAUCCUCAAGGUUGCAGUCAUUACACACUUACAAAUGUGAAUUGGACUGGAAGCUUUGAUGGGCAUCCUUAUUUGUAUCAAGCAGAAGAGAUCUCACCACAGCUGAUUUAUAGACUGAGACAGUCCAAUUCUAGCUACUCUUACCUUUUUGCGAGGAAAUUCUCACCGCAAUGCUUAAAGCCGCUCAUGAAUAUUGCAGAUGACGUCAUUUUCCGGGAUAAAAAGUGAGCAAAGAUGCCAAUAAAGGAAGAUACAUGGUGGAAUAUUUAUGAGCUCCUUGUGAUUCUGUGUGUUACAAAUUAGGCUAAUCCUUGAAAUUAGAGAGAGAAGAAAAAAAUUGCAACAACUUUGUUAAUGUUUGGUGAGAUUGAAGGAAAUAUCAAGGCUAUGUGGACUCGUUUAAAAAAGAAAGAAAAGAAAAGCAAUAUUUGACAAUUGUAAGAAUGCAGUGGAAGGUGUUAGGGGCAUUGGGCCCAAGCCUUCAUUGAGGUGGAUACCUUUAUAUAGAAUAUUUAAUAAAGUUGUAUAUAAUUAUAUAAAGGACUUCUUUUACUAACAAA